rnacentral:tRNA from 1 species
AGAAGCUUAGGUUAAACUAAACCAGGAGCCUUCAAAGCCCCAAACAGGAAUUACACUCCUAGCUUCUG